AGGUCCUCCUCUUGUCUCUAAUGCGGCUGUAGGCGUACAUAUGGACAUUGCUGGGUCUCUCCCCCCAUCCGGUCUAGAGAACCGGGCCUUCGACUUUGCUCAAGUUAGGGCGAGGUUCUCCUCCUGUCCCUAACAGGGCUGUGGGGGCACAUAUGGGCAUUGCAGGGCCUCUCCCCCCAUCCGGUCUAAAGAGAACCGGG
rnacentral:lncRNA from 1 species